UAGACAAUUUACAUAUUAUGGAAGGAGGACAAGGAUUGGAACAUUUUUCAUUCAUAUUAACCUCCUGUGGAUUAGAUAGAACUUGACAAUGAAGAAUGCAAUGGCUGAAAGCAUCAACAUAUAGGCUGUUGACACUGAACAGGAGAUGCUUCCCAAAUGAAAUUUUCUCACACAAGGCACUGGAAAUAUCUUCCCAUAUUUAGGUGUUAGGUUGUGAAACCGGCCAGAGACUGAAAUAAAGGUAAUGUAGUGAAAUGCUUGACUAACAAGCAGAAGGUUGCCAUUUGGAAUCCCCGCUGGUACUAUAUCAGGCAGCAGCAAUAUAGGAAGAUGCUGAAAGGCAUCAUCUCAUACUGUGCGAGAGGAGGCAAUGGUAAACCCCUCCUGUAUUCUACCAAGAAAAUCACAGGGCUCUGUGGGCGCCAGGAGUCAAAAUCGACUUGACGGCACACUUUACCUUUAGUGUAAUGUAGUAAUCUUUUAAUUGAUUUGGUCUUUGGGCUUUUAUCUGCUGCUAUUUAUGCAUGAUGUGUUAUUGCUGAUGCAGGGUGGGUUUUUUUGGUAAGUCAUCUUGAGUGUAUGGUUUAUAGAAAGGUGAAGUAUAAAUUGCAAUAAAUAAAACUGUUUUAUGAGUGAGCCACUUCAAGAAGAAGGUUUCAGGUUGGUGUGUUAGGACCUUUUUAUGUCCCCAAAGUAGACUACUAAGAAGUCUCACUGCUAUCCAGAGACCUCUCUCUUCUUGAGGUUGGCAAUUGUGUGGACCGAUAGGAUGAUAUUUCUCAAGGGGCUAGAUUUGGUCAGGGUCUAAAGUUGCUGACCUGUACAGUAUUAGGCCAGCCCUUAAAGCAGAGCUACACAACUUUGGCCCUCAUGCAAAUGCUGCAUUACAACUCCCAUCAUCCCUUACUACUGGCCACUGUGGUUGGGGAUGAUAGGAGUUAUAGUCUAACUGGCCUCCUAGUUGGAGGCCGAAGUUGUGCAGCCCUGCCUUAAGAGCAUUAUAUUAUAUAAUUUAAUCAAUGAGAAGUAUAUAGACUAAUGAUCAUAUCAAUAACUUUUUUUAUAGAGAGGGUUAAAAACUCAUAAAGUGCAUUUAUUCUCUUCAUUCAUUAAACAAUACCAAAUGCUUUGACCUACACAUCUGUUUAAAUACAAGAGGGUGGCGUUUUUGGUUUUGUUUUGUUUUUAAAGAAAAAUCUCUUUGGAAAAUAGCCAAGUUUUGUAAACAGACUGAAAGCCACAAGCUUUCGUGUCUUUGUAAGAGAACAGAAUUACUGUUAAAACUAAUACUGUUCACUGUAAAUAAAUUCCCACAGAUGGCAUCUGUAAUUUGAAAAGGACAAAAACACUUCUAAAUAUGCUUGCAAAUGCUAUUUAUUUCCCUUAAGAAACUCUUCUCAAAAUUAACUGUUUAAAGAUUUCUGCCUGGAGGCUAAAAAAUAAAGUUGUUGUAAACACAGUAUCCUGCAAGCUAACGGCAGAACAAGAUUAAAGCAAUCAUGAAUUAUCCUUGAAUUAUCUUAACUCAGCCUUCUGGAUGAAAGCCAACUGUUAAACAGACCCACCAGCAAUGUCUGUUGAUGCAGGACUGCUGGGUUCAUUUGAAUUUGUUGAACAUUCAAAGCAACAUCCAUCCAAGCUCUAACAUCCACAAAGUUUCCACAAGUGACAAUCAAGUGCUGGAAAUCGGCAUAGCUUUAAACGCUGCACUGGCUUUCAAACAAUAUCAUAGAGAAUAAAAAAUAUUCCAUGCUGAUUAGUUAACAUUUUUGUGCUUAUUUGUUCUUCACUUAUCAUUAUAUACUUAUUAAUGAAAGUAUCUCAGCUUUUCGUUGCUAUUUUGGCCCUUUAUUUUAUUUAUUUUUAUUUAUUUAUUUAUUUAUUACAUUUAUAUA